AUCAACGCUGGCGGCGUGCCUAACACAUGCAAGUCGAACGAGAAAGCCGGUAGCAAUACUGGUGAGUAGAGUGGCGACCGGGUGAGUAACACGUGGAUAACCUACCGCCGAGUGGGGAAUAACCUUGGGAAACCGGGGCUAAUACCGCAUAACACCUCGGGACUUCGGUCCUGGGGUUGAAACCCGCAAGGGGCUUGGCGAGGGGUCCGCGGCCGAUUAGCUAGUUGGUGAGGUAACGGCCCACCAAGGCCAUGAUCGGUAGCCGGCCUGAGAGGGCGGACGGCCACACUGGAACUGAAACACGGUCCAGACUCCUACGGGAGGCAGCAGUGGGGAAUUUUGCGCAAUGGGGGAAACCCUGACGCAGCAACGCCGCGUGGACGAUGAAGCUUCUUGGAGUGUAAAGUCCUUUCGGCAGGGACGAAGCCCGAGCAAUCGGGUUGACGGUACCUGAAGAAGAAGCCCCGGCUAACUCCGU
rnacentral:rRNA from 1 species